ACUUCCGCAGCGGUGCCUCUGAGGUGGGAGCUGGUCACAGGAAAGCAGCUUCUAACCUGCUGUAUUGUCUCUAAAACCACUACUUGGUUUUGGUGGUACAUUAUAUGGGUCUCAUGAUGGAGCCCUGGCAGGCUUGGGAUUCACUUGACCGACAAGAAUAGACUUGGAAUCACAAAGAUUCUCCUGCAUCUACUUCCCACCGGGAAGCAAGUUCCCAAGUGACAAGGAAGACUACCAGUAUUCUCAGUCUCUAAUUCAGAUGAGUAUAUGCUAAGUAUGGGGAACUGAAGCCCAGAGAGAUUAAGGAACAUGACUAAGGCGGUGGCAGCUAGCAGAGGUCAUGAGCCAAUGAACCACGGCUGCUUUCUCUCCAACAGAAGACCUUUACAUGACCUUUGCAGUAUGGCCAAGAAAGGAGUCCUUGAAUCAUGGGUUAUGGACUGCAGGUCAUCUUCAGUGAAGGUCUCACUGAAACUCAGCCGUCUCUUCUUCAGAAUCUUCCCGUUGCUUGACGUUGCUGAUACUGUCACCCGGCUCUCCUUGAAGGUGAAGUUGGACAUCUUUGAUGUUUCAGAGGUUCUCAGAGAUACAAACUGAUCUGUGCAAGUCUCAUGAAGUGAGCCAUAGCUUGCAUCAUAGAAGGAUUUCUGUAAGGAGGAAAAGUGGAACCUGAGAAGUUAUCUAUGCCCUUGAGAUGAGAUUCUUCAGUAGGAUCUGUAUCCUGCAGGCUUAGUGAGAGUGGUCCCCAUUGUGCUUCCUCCCUCCCUCCCUCCCUUCCUCCUAAGCAUCUCAGUGACGUCCUUCCUUCCUUCCUUCCUUCCUUCCUUCCUUCCUUCCUUCCUUCCUUCCUUCCUUCCUUCCUUCCUUCCUUCCUUCCCCACUGCAUUCCUUCCUUUUCCUUGCUUGGGUUUUCCUGAAACCAUGUGAUUUUUUUUUUUUUUGAGAAGAAGGUAUUUUUACCCAUCUUUAGGCUCAAAAAUAAAGCAUUUUAAUGAAAUAGAUUAAUAAGCAAUCUUGGUAAGUUAGAUCCUUCUAUUAAGAGGACUAACAUCUACUUGAGAGUGCUCAAAAUAUUUUAGAAAAUACAUUUGGCCCUCUGUUUUGCCUGCCUGCAUCCUCAGAUUCAACCAAUAUUAAGAUUCAAAAUAUUUUCUAGAAAUAAAUGACAUCUAUACUGAACAUGUGCAUUUUUAUUUUCUAAAUAAUCUAAUCAUUACUUCAUAUGCAUAAGAAUUAUUUCCAUAGCAUCUGUGUUGUGGCAGGUAUUGUUAGGUCACCUAGAUAUGAUUUAAAGUCAUUUGAGAAUGCAUAUAUGCUUGGGACUUAAACAUCUGAUUCUAAGCUCCCAUGGAUGCCUUUAGUAUGGCUGUUCUUCUGGAAGUAGCUUUUAAAGCUAGUAUUGCAGAUACACAAAAUGACAUAACUUGGUGAGUGUGUGCAACAUAUUUACUUUCUCUUGGCUAGGCUCCUCAACCUCAGUUCUGUGGGCUAUCUGGUUAUCUCUAGCCUCUAGUCUCUUAGGAGACAGACCCCAGGUGAGGUGGGCUGAAGCAACUGGCUAGGGAGGACAAAAUUAACAUUUUGAAGAAACCUAGCCCUGUUCUUAGGGCUUCAGAUAGUUCUCUGUUAUGAAAGAGCCAAUGAACAUGAAGAAUGCCAUUUAACUACUAGUAUGAAGAACCAAGUGAUCUCAUUUAUAAAGAGUAAAUGUAUUUAUAUCUCUAGUGAGGGUGAGACAUAAGUAUGUACUACUCAGUUCUCAUUGUGCUUUUCUGGUAGGUGAACUAGUGUGG
ensembl:processed_transcript Gm14023 predicted gene 14023